rnacentral:rRNA from 1 species
CCUACGGGAGGCAGCAGUGAGGAAUAUUGGUCAAUGGACGAGAGUCUGAACCAGCCAAGUAGCGUGAAGGAUGACUGCCCUAUGGGUUGUAAACUUCUUUUAUAUGGGAAUAAAAUGUUCCACGUGUGGGCUUUUGUAUGUACCCUAUGAAUAAGGAUCGGCUAACUCCGUGCCAGCAGCCGCGGUAAUACGGAGGAUCCGAGCGUUAUCCGGAUUUAUUGGGUUUAAAGGGAGCGUAGGUGGAUUGUUAAGUCAGUUGUGAAAGUUUGCGGCUCAACCGUAAAAUUGCAGUUGAAACUGGCAGUCUUGAGUACAGGAGAGGUGGGCGGAAUGCGUGGUGUAGCGGUGAAAUGCUUAGAUAUCACGAAGAACUCCGAUUGCGAAGGCAGCUCACUGGACUGCAACUGACACUGAGGCUCGAAAGUGUGGGUAUCAAACAGGAUUAGAUACCCCAGUAGUC